CUACGGGUCGCACCAGUGGGGAAUAUUGCACAAUGGACGAAAGUCUGAUGCAGCAACGCCGCGUGGAGGAUGACACAUUUCGGUGCGUAAACUCCUUUUAUAUAGGAAGAUAAUGACGGUACUAUAUGAAUAAGCGCCGGCUAACUCCGUGCCAGCAGCCGCGGUAAUACAGAGGGCGCAAGCGUUACUCGGAAUCACUGGGCGUAAAGAGCGUGUAGGCGGAUAGAUAAGUCAGGAGUGAAAUCCUAUGGCUCAACCAUAGAACUGCUCUUGAAACUGUCUAUCUAGAAUAUGGGAGAGGUAGAUGGAAUUUCUGGUGUAGGGGUAAAAUCCGUAGAGAUCAGAAGGAAUACCGAUUGCGAAGGCGAUCUACUGGAACAUUAUUGACGCUGAGACGCGAAAGCGUGGGGAGCAAACAGGAUUAGAUACCCGUGUAGUC
rnacentral:rRNA from 1 species